GAGCUGGAUAGAAAUAAUGACCAACUCUUAAGCAAAAGACAAUGGUAUGGCCAACUCAUAUUCUGGAAAUCAGUCUUAAACAGAGAUUAGCAAUGGCUUAAAGAAUCAUAACACAAAGAUUCUUAAAAAAACGAUAUGAAUCUAAAAGAGAUUCUUACUUAACGACUUAAAUAAGACUUAUAGUAUGGGAAAAGACCACUAAUAGCUUAAAUAUGUCU
rnacentral:lncRNA from 1 species